CUACGGGGGGCUCCAGUGAGGAAUUUUGCGCAAUGGGGGAAACCCUGACGCAGCAACGCCGCGUGAGUGAAGAAGGCCUUUGGGUCGUAAAGCUCUGUCAACAGGGAAGAAGUUACAAUUGUUUAAUAGAUGAUUGUAUUGACGGUACCUGUGGAGGAAGCGCCGGCUAGACUCCGUGCCAGCAGCCGCGGUAACACGGGGGGCGCAAGCGUUAUUCGGAAUUAUUGGGCGUAAAGGGCGCGCAGGCGGUCUUGUCCGUCAGGUGUGAAAGCUCGGGGCUCAACCCCGGAAGUGCACUUGAAACUGCAAGACUUGAAUACGGGAGAGGAAAGCGGAAUUCCUGGUGUAGAGGUGAAAUUCGUAGAUAUCAGGAGGAACACCGAUGGCGAAGGCAGCUUUCUGGACCGAUAUUGACGCUGAGGCGCGAAGGCGUGGGGAGCGAACGGGAUUAGAUACCCCGGUAGUC
rnacentral:rRNA from 1 species